CAGCCAGACUUGGAACAUUUUUCAUUUCUACAGGAUCUGAAUGACAGGUUUCAGAAUGCCACACUGUAUCACAAAAAAUGUCAGACACAAGGCCUGUUUUUGGCCACCUAUGCCUGUGGUCCUUGCCUGGUAGCUAGGCUGGCCAGAUACAGAAAACAAAUGGACAACUUCCCCAUUCUGAAUGAGUCGUUUUUAUCUGUACUCUGCCCUGCAUCAUCCUGUCUCUGUUUCUGCAAGGAAACCACCACAGUGCACCAUGGAGUGAACACUCCCCACUAGGACAAAAGGGAAACUCAUCUCCUAAGUAGACCAAGACUAUCUUGUGACAGUGCAAAACCUGGUACAUCUGUCUAAUAGAAAAUGAAGUGCCUUUGUUUGUCAGGCUGAAGUGACACAUUUGGAUUAUUGUACCUCCCUUCAUAUUCAGUAUCUGCUUAUGUUUAUCUUCUUGAAGUAUUUGAGUUUCAAAGGACAUGUAUGAAAUAAAGGAUAUGAAGGGGGACAAAGAUGCCUAAUAUUAACAAUGUUAAUAAUAAAACUAAUAUUAACAAAAGUAACAAUGCAACUGAGAGCUUUUAUAUUCAAUUUACAUUUUAUGAAAUUCUUAUAAAAAAACCUAAUAAUAUUUUGAUAGCUAUGGUAACAUAUGCAUACUCAUAGGGGGUACUCGUUACUUGAUACUUGCAGGGAAAGGGACAGAGGGAAAGAUCAAUAGUAAAUGUGCAUAAAAGUAUUCCUGUUCUCAAAAUCAGACCUCUUCUUGUUGACUAAAGUUGGAUACCCAGAAACUAGUCAUUCAAAAAUAUGGUUCAUUUUCUUAAAAUCACAACUACAAAAAUCCCAGACUGUAUACAUGUAUAGACUGUAUAGAAUGAUUGAAUUGUCUUGCCUUCUCUGCAGUCUGUGCCAUUCAUCCAUCUUACAUCUCUGAAAGUAGGAUUUUGCUCUUGAUGCUAUUUUCAUUUGUAUGGGAACUGCUGAAUCACAGCCUGAACCUCUGAUUGACCAUCUGAGGCAAGUGCUGAGUCAGCCACAGGGGCACAGGUGAAUGCAAUUUCACCUGAGUGACCGGAAGGGGUGAAGCCAUGCUCCACCUCUCCUAGACCCUAGAGCCCAUUUAAGGGCUGACUCCCAAGGAGGACAAAUCUUUAUCUGGAGAUCAUUCCUCUUGGAGCCCUUCUAUGAGCCCAGGGCACAGGUAAGCUCUUUAUUUCAUUGCUUUUUUGUAAAUAUGAUCAUCUCUCUGGUCCUAUACCUGUAUACCUAUUCACCUUACAAUUUGUAUAUACCUGUUUGCCAUACACAUUUUAGAAAGAAGGAUCCAUUUUGAUGAUAUGAACUAAUUAUUUCUAGUUGCUGGAUGUUUCAUGGCUGAAAAAAGCAAUUACUUUUACUGUGAAAGAUAUGGUUGUGUGCUUGCAGGGCAUACUUACUAAUGAGGAUUUUAUUUGUGUGAUAGUUGACUGCUCUCACUGCCUGUUGGUUCAGGGGAGGUGUGAUAGAAGAGUUUACUGGGUGGAACUGGUAAGGAUUUAGCCUGUUUUGAAAGUUGAACUACGAGGUUAAAAAGGGGGAGAUAAUUCAUAAAUACACACAGUAAUGGUGGAGAGCCUAUGUCUUGUGAUUUUACUUGAUAAAUUAAGUGUAGGAUAACUAAGUCAAUUGCUGAUACUACUAAAACUCUAUGUACUUUUCUUCUUAAGCAUGGAGACUAAGCUGCUCUAUAGCACAUGGGUGACGGUGUGCCUGGAUGCCUGACUUCUGAUUUACAUGAGAUACCAAAAGCUUUGUGAUAGACAUGAUGAUUGUGAACUCUGUUAUAAGACUUCUGAUUCUUCUGGCUUAAAUAAAGUUCCUUGCCUUUUUUUGCUUGC
ensembl:lncRNA